rnacentral:ncRNA from 1 species
AUUCAACUGCCGCCGGGCAGUAAAUGCUUAAGCAUUUGUGUGUAUAUCGUUAGGUCUUUGAAGAUAUGCACUGCAAAUGCUUAUUUUUU